rnacentral:siRNA from 1 species
GUCACCGAUUUUUCCUCCUAAAC